rnacentral:rRNA from 1 species
AGUGAACGCUGGCGGUAGGCCUAACACAUGCAAGUCGAACGGCAGCACAGUAAGAGCUUGCUCUUACGGGUGGCGAGUGGCGGACGGGUGAGGAAUACAUCGGAAUCUACUUUUUCGUGGGGGAUAACGUAGGGAAACUUACGCUAAUACCGCAUACGACCUACGGGUGAAAGCAGGGGAUCUUCGGACCUUGCGCGAUUGAAUGAGCCGAUGUCGGAUUAGCUAGUUGGCGGGGUAAAGGCCCACCAAGGCGACGAUCCGUAGCUGGUCUGAGAGGAUGAUCAGCCACACUGGAACUGAGGCACGGUCCAGACUCCUACGGGAGGCAGCAGUGGGGAAUAUUGGACAAUGGGCGCAAGCCUGAUCCAGCCAUACCGCGUGGGUGAAGAAGGCCUUCGGGUUGUAAAGCCCUUUUGUUGGAAAAGAAAAGCAGCAGGUUAAUACCCCGCUGUUCUGACGGUACCCAAAGAAUAAGCACCGGCUAACUUCGUG